rnacentral:lncRNA from 1 species
AUCAAUAUUAAACACCUAUCACACAACUUUGCAAUUUCUUUCACUGAAUAUAUGUUACAAUGGCUUGAUGAGAUAUCUAGAUCCAAUCCAAACCAAGACCUCAGAAUGACACACUGGAAAAGAUUAAGUCACUGAAAGCCUAACCCUGCGUGAGCAGUGACACAAAGCUGGAACCUUGAGGUUCUCUUCAUGACUCCGCGCAGCCCUGCCUGAUUGGAUACUCUCCUCAGUAUGCUUUGCUGACUCUUAUAUAACCGUGAAAAGUUAAGAGAUGGCCCAUGUCAUGAAGACAGACCACCCAUGACAUCUCACGCCAUGCAAUGCAGCCACAAAGAAGCAUAUUCACACAAAGUGCUACCCAGAAGACUCCUUUACGCUUGCCAUCAUCACCCUCCAUCUGAUGGUGACAACUUCAGACAUAGUUCUAAAUGUCCCCAUCCAAUUUGGAUCUGGGUUUUAGAUGAGGUAAUUGAUUCAGGACUGAAUCCAGUUCUUUAAAGAAAGAAAAUAAAGGUUGAGAUUUGAGUUAACUUAAUUUUUUUCCGGUCCCCGUGGCGAAUAUCCCAGGAAUGAUGCUGACGCUGCUGAACUGCACAGUGCUUUAACAACAAGCUUAGCUUUACUUCUUAUAAAAGUGUAUGGAUGAAAAAAAAGUAAUCAUGAAGAACAGCUGGACACUUCAAAUAGCACAAACUUUGAAAUUGCUUCCUCCAUUAAAACAAAAAGCAAAGUGGGACCAAAGUCCUUCUUCCUUUCUCCUUCAUUCUGGCCCUGGCACCUGCUAAUACUCUAAACCUUGAGUGAAAGGAUAGCUUACCACCCUGUCAGGAUGCCUAAGCUCAAAACAUUUAAAGACAAGAAAGAACAUUUGUCAAUAACACCAGCCAGUAGAGUAAGGAGGAAAAGGGCAUUGAUAAGGUCAGACAGGAAUGGUGCUUCUUGGGUUUUCCUGAGUCCAAGUCUCAGGAUAUGUGGGAGGCCCACUCAUGGCUGUCACCUGGGUAAACUGGACUCAAAUAAAACAGAAUGG